AAUAUUUUAUUGGACCAAUCCGUGUCUCUGCGACCCAGGGAUUGUAUGUUGGACAUCAGGGAGGGCUGCUGACUUCUUCCAGGAGCUGUAGUCAAUGGGAGGUAAUUAUUGCAGGCCCUGGAACUGAUAAACAACUCCAGAGAAGUACUUCCCCUGGGGUGCAUUGCAUAUACUAGUUCAGAUCAGGUUCAAGAGACCCAGGAGACAAAUAAAAGCCAUUUGGUAUAAAAACGAUGAGCCUGAACAGACAGGGGCCCCUCAUUUUCAUCCAGAAACUCACAUGAGCCUUUAACAAAGGGGGGCUGAUCCUACCUGAAGGUUUCAAGGACUGGAAUCUGCCAUGGUCUCCAUCUGGAGGAGUGGGGACUAGCUUCUGAAAACGGCAAUUUAACUGCAACUGAGAUUAAGGUCAAAUAAGAAAUGGUCUCAGAGAGCAGGCUGAGCUAUUUAUAGGGAUGAUGGUAGAAACAGGAUGAAUUGGAGCAAGGACGUACAGAAGUUCAGAUCCAGAUCUCGCCCAGAUUGCAUUGCUCUCACCUCCAGACUGACCAAGUCUCCCAGUAUGUCAGAGAGAGUCCCAUUUGCAACCAAAAAACUCCUGAUUUUAGGGUUCUUUUAGAGUCUUCCCUUUGAUUUCAAUGGCAGCAGGAUCAGCCCAUAGAAAGAGGACUCCCCUUCCACGUAAGGUAGUAGCCACCCUUCAGUCUCAGCAGAAGUAUGUGGGAUACAAGGGCUACCUGCAAACAGGAGGAAGCACCCAUGUAUCAAUAAAUAGAGCUCUGCGCCAAUACAAAAAUGUGAAUCCGCAUCCGUGAUAAUUAACUUGUAUCCAACUUCCAUUCUGCAUUCUAACUGUAUAUGCAUCCAUACCAGCACACUAUCUCACUGUUAGAGCCAUGUGCGGAUACAGACAUUUGGAUCCACAUCCAAUCCGCAAAGAUGGGAAACAAUACAACCGCAUCUGCGGAUAUAAAGUGGAUAUCCGUGGAGUUGCAGGGCUCAAUAAAAUCCUUUUAUAAGGCACUGUCUACGUUCCUCAGCCAGCUAUAGCGGAUGACUAGAUUUCCCAGAUGGAACACGCACAUUUAAUUCAUUUUUUUCCUAACUGUAGCAGACAAUAUCACCCUGCUCUUAAAGGCAGGGAGCUGAGCUGAUUAGGAGACUUGGCAAACACAAAU